GACGAACGCUGGCGGCGUGCUUAACACAUGCAAGUCGAACGGAAAGGCCCUGCUUUUGUGGGGUGCUCGAGUGGCGAACGGGUGAGUAACACGUGAGUAACCUGCCCUUGACUUUGUGAUAACUUCAGGAAACUGGGGCUAAUACCGGAUAUGAGCUCCUGCUGCACGGGGGGGGUUGGAAAGUUUCGGCGGUUGGGGAUGGACUCGCGGCUUAUCAGCUUGUUGGUGUGGUAGUGGCUGACCAAGGCUUUGACGGGUAGCCGGCCUGAGAGGGUGACCGGCCACAUUGGGACUGAGAUACGGCCCAGACUCCUACGGGAGGCAGCGAUGGGGAAUAUUGCACAAUGGGCGGAAGCCUGAUGCAGCAACGCCGCGUGCGGGAUGACGGCCUUCGGGUUGUAAACCGCUUUCGCCUGUGACGAAGCGUGAGUGACGGUAAUGGGUAAAGAAGCACCGGCUAACUACGUG
rnacentral:rRNA from 1 species